GGUGGAUACAGGUGUGGGGAAGGCACAUGUUCAGGAGAAUGAAGGAUGAGUAUGCACUACUGAAUAUGACCCAGAAAACCAGUGCCACAGCGAACAGAGCAAAACCAAUACACAGGUCAGCCACCAGGGGGAGACUCGUUGAGGCCUGGUGACAGACGGAGUAUGCAUCACGAGGCGAUGGCUCCAUCUGCUGGACGUGCCAGGUCUCGACAGGCUCUCCGCCCAGGACUAAUUGGGACUGAUUGGGGAGUUGGUGAGUAAUCAAGAACUGAUUGCUCACCAGCUGUACAAGCCCCAUAAAGCUGCCAGAAGGGCAGCACACAGGAGAGGACUGGGCGAAGUAAGGUGACUUCCGUGUAGUUUGAGACGGUGCCCAAGCUAAGAUGUUUGAGUUUGCGUGCCAAACAGGAUACAGCAAGACCCGGAGCCCAGAAGACCGUAUCCCAGAAGACCGUAUCCCGUAGAGGGUCUCAUGGGGGAGACCUAUCCUUUUCUUUUGAUGUGUUAUUUAAUAAACACCCUUGAAGCCGA